ACCUGGCUCACACCGGUUUAAACUCAGAUCAUGUAAAAUUUUAAAGGUCGAACAGACCCAACCUACUAGCUACUGCACCAGUAAUUAAUUUUAAUCCAACAUCGAGGUCGCAAUCUUCUCUUUCGAUAAGAACUCUAAGAAAAAUUACGCUGUUAUCCCUAAGGUAAUUUAAUCUUUUAAUCCAAACAUCAGGAUCAUAAACCUAUACAUUAAUAUAUAAAUAUAGAAAAGUUAAAUAAAUUUUCCCAUCACCCCAACAAAAUAUAUAAAACUCUAUAGGGUCUUCUCGUCUUCUAUAUAAAUCUAAGCUUUUUCACUUAAAAAUAAAAUUCUAAUUAAUUCAUCCAGAGACAGCUACUUUUUCAUCAAACCUUUCAUUCAAGCUUUCAAUUAAAAAACUAGUGAUUAUGCUACCUUUGCACAGUCAAAAUACCGCGGCCAUUUAAUAAUAUCAGUGGGCAGGUCAGACCUGAAAUAAUACUCAACAAGCC
rnacentral:rRNA from 1 species